rnacentral:rRNA from 1 species
UCCAAAUACAACAAACCAAAUUAAUAAACCCCCAUGUACUAAUCAAACACAAACAAAACAUUUUACCCCCUUAGUAUAGGCGAUAGAAAAGGACUUUUAGGCGCAAUAGAAAGAGUACCGCAAGGGAAAGCUGAAAGAGAGAUGAAAAAGUUCAAUUAAAGCACAAAAAAGCAGAGACUUAACCUCGUACCUUUUGCAUCAUGGUUUAGCAAGAACCCCCAAGCAAAGAGCCCUUUAGUUUGAAACCCCGAAACUAAGUGAGCUACUCCAAGGCAGCCUGUAAGUAGGGCAAACCCGUCUCUGUGGCAAAAGAGUGGGAAGAACUUCGAGUAGAGGUGACAGACCUACCGAACUUAGUUAUAGCUGGUUGCCCGGGAAAUGAACAGUAGUUCAGCCUCUUGACGACUUUUUCACGCCAAUUCAGGGCUCAUGUAGCUCUACCCAGGCCCGCAGAAACCAAGAGAGUUAGUCAGAAGGGGUACAGCCCCUUUGACACAAAGCACAAUUUUUAUAGGAGGGUAAAGAUCACAACAUAACAAGGGUUAAGACUCGCAGUGGGCUUAAAAGCAGCCACCUGAACAGAAAGCGUUAAAGCUCGGACCCUUAAAUCUACCCAAGAUACUGACAAUUUUAUCUCACCCCCCUUGAUCUACCGAGCCAUCCCCUGCCCACAGGGGAGUGAUCAUGCUAAUAUGAGUAAUAAGAGGACCAAGAUUCUCUCCCCGCACACGUGUACAUCGGAACGAACCCGCACCGAGCCCUAACGGCCCCAAGUCAAGAGGGAACUGGACUGAAACACAGACAACUAGAAAACCACCCAACCCCAACCGUUAACCCCACACUGGUGUGCUCAAGAGGAAAGACCUACAGAAAAGGAAGGAACUCGGCAAACCUAAGCCUCGCCUGUUUACCAAAAACAUCGCCUCUUGCAAACUUAAACGAAUAAGAGGUCCCGCCUGCCCUGUGACUACAUGUUUAACGGCCGCGGUAUUUUGACCGUGCAAAGGUAGCGCAAUCACUUGUCUUUUAAAUGGAGACCUGUAUGAAUGGCAUUACGAGGGCUUAACUGUCUCCCUUUUCAAGUCAAUGAAAUUGAUCUCCCCGUGCAGAAGCGGGGAUUCUCCCACAAGACGAGAAGACCCUAUGAAGCUUUAGACACUAAGGUAGUCUACGCCAAAAAACCUCCCUUAAGAGACCGAGCCUAAUAGCAUUCUACCCGACUGUCUUUGGUUGGGGCGACCACGGGGGAAAACCAAGCCCCCACGCAGAACGGGGCAAUUCCUGUCCUAAAGCCCAGAGCCCCCGCUCCAAGCAACAAAAUCUCUUUGACUUUCCAGAUCCGGCAUGGCCGAUCUACGGACCGAGUUACUCUAGGGAUAACAGCGCAAUCUCCUUUCAGAGCCCCUAUCGACAAGGAGGUUUACGACCUCGAUGUUGGAUCAGGACAUCCUAAUGGUGCAGCCGCUAUUAAGGGUUCGUUUGUUCAACGAUUAAAGUCCUACGUGAUCUGAGUUCAGACCGGAGUAAUCCAGGUCAGUUUCUAUCUGUGUUGUGAUCUUUUCUAGUACGAAAGGACCGAAAAGAGGAGGCCCCUACUUAAAGAACGCCUCACCCCCACCUGCUGUACUCCACUAAACCAGACAAAAGGGCACACUCCCCACAGCCUGAUAUAACGACAU